UUUCCCUGCUUGUGCUUCUCUAGAUGAUGCUGAAUCGUGGACCCAAAUGAUGGUAAAAGCCCUCUUCUCUGUACUACUGAAGUGGAACUCGCCGACAAGGCGCCAUAAUUCAAAGCAAAACCCUUGAUUUUACCGAGCUAAAUGGAGUCCAGAAGCAGGUUUGCUUGAAAAGUUUGAAGCUAAGUACAGUAUAAG